rnacentral:rRNA from 1 species
UUUUAAUUAAAAUUUAAUUAAAAUUUAAAUUAUUAUUCUUUAAUAGAAAUAACUUUUAAUUUAGUAAAUUUUAUUGAACUAAUAUUUAUUUUUAUAGUUAAUAGUACUGUGAAGGAAUAUUUUAUAUAUAUUAAAAGUAUAAUUAAUUUUUUGUACCUUUUGUAUCAGGGUUAAUUAAAUUAGCAAAACUUAGGUUGUUUUCCCGAAAUAAGGAGAGAUAGAGUCUUAUGUUUAUUAAUGUGUCAAAAUUAUUAUUAAUAAGACUUUGGUAAUGAAAUGUUAUUCGUUCCUUAUAUAUCUGGUUUUUUUGGAAUUAAAUUUAAUUUAGGAUAAAUUUUAUAAUUUGAGAAUUAUUUUUCAGUUUGAAUUUUUAUCAAAUACUUCUGGGGAUAAGCUCGGGAGUAAUUCUAUAAAUAUUUUUAUAAUAAAUUUGUGUAGGCUUAGAAUCAGCCAUCCUGAAUCUCGUUAUAGAGUGUAUUUACAUACUAUUUAUUUAAUUUAUUUUAGUUUAUUACAAAAAAGAUUCAUUUAAUUUAUAAAUGAAUAUAAUAAUGAUUAAAUUAGUAUAUUAUAUAAUUAAAUUAUAGUAACUCGGCAAAUAUUAUAUUCGCCUGUUUAACAAAAACAUGUCCUUUUGUUUUAAAUAUAAGGUCUAGCCUGCCCAAUGAUUUAUUGAAUGGCCGCGGUAUUUUAACUGUGCUAAGGUAGCAUAAUCACUUGUCUUUUAAUUGAAGGCUAGAAUGAAUGGCUGGACGAAAUAUAAUCUUUCUUUAAUUUAAUUUUUAGAACUUAAUUUUUUAGUCAAAAAGCUAAAAUUUAUUUGAGGGACGAGAAGACCCUAUAGAUCUUUAUAUCUUCUAUUAUUAUAUAUUUUAGUGUAUUUAUUAUUAUAAUAAUUUAAUUUAUUUGGUUGGGGCGACUGUAAAAUUUUCAAUAACUUUUAUUUAUUAUAUUCAUUUAUAAAUGUAUUCUUGAUCCAGUAUUAUUGAUUAUAAGAUUAAGUUACCUUAGGGAUAACAGCGUAAUUUCUUCGGAGAGUUCUUAUCGAUGAAGAAGAUUGCGACCUCGAUGUUGGAUUAAAAUUAGUUGUGGGUGCAGAAGCUCAUAAACUAGGUCUGUUCGACCUUUAAUUUUUUACAUGAUCUGAGUUCAGACCGGCGUAAGCCAGGUCAGUUUCUAUCUUCAAAAUAUUAAUUAUACCUUAGUACGAAAGGACCAGGUUUAAGAAAUAAUUUUUGUAAUUUUGAUUAUCAUU